rnacentral:rRNA from 1 species
CACGAAACCAGGCGAGCUACCAUAAGACGUACAUUAGUAUAAAGUAUGUGGCAUAAUAAUUUACAGAUCUUACAGUAGGAGUGAGAGGCUGUCAAGUCUGGAGAUAUCUUGUUAAUUCUUAAAAGUAUUUAGUACAGCGUCAAUUUAUUAGUGAUAAGGCUAAUAAAUAUAACUUAAUUGGUUAAAUAUUGGGUGCGUAGUUUAACCGCUGGUACCUCAGUAAUUGUAUUAUUAAAAUCCAAAAAUAGUUUAACUUAAGAACACGUGCAAAAUUCAAUUUAACAUUUAUACUGUAAGUAUAAGUAGCUCAGAUACCACCGAUGAACUCGGCAACAUUUCUUUCACCUGUUUAUCAAAAACAUCGCCAAUAGGAGGUAUUAUUGGUCAUUUCUGCUCCAUGUAUUAUAAAUAGCCGCAGUACUCUGACUGUGCUAAGGUAGCAUAAUCAUUUGGCUUAUAAUUGAAGUCUGGCAUGAAUGAAAUCAUGAGGGAAAACUCUAUUAGUGGUACCUAACGAAUUUAUUAAGUGAGUGCAAAUACUCACACUUAAAUAAUAGACGAGAAGACCCUAGAAAUUUUUAUGUCAAGUUUUUGUUGGGGCAACAUAGUAGCAGGUAACCUACAGUAUUAUACACGACAUGGUAUAGUCAGACUAAAUUACUCUAGGGAUAACAGCGUAAUAUAUAAGCGUUUGCGACCUCGAUGUUGGACUAGGGAACCGAUACCUAGAA